GAGAGAGGCAGAGCGAGCGAUAGAGGCAGAGCGAGCGAGAGAGAGGCAGAGCGAGCGAGAGAGAGGCAGAGCGAGCGAUAGAGGCAGAGCGAGAGAGGCAUAGCGAGAGAGAGGCAUAGCGAGAGAGAGGCAUAGCGAGAGAGGCAUAGCGAGAGAGGCAUAGCGAGAGAGGCAUAGCGAGAGAGGCAUAGCGAGAGAGAGGCAUAGCGAGAGAGGCAUAGUGAGAGAGGCAUAGUGAGAGAGGCAUAGCGAGAGAGACAGAGCGAGAGAGAGGCAGAGCAAGAGAGAGUGAGAGGCAGAGCGAGAGAGAGGCAGAGCGAGAGAGAGGCAGAGCGAGAGAGAGGCAGAGCGAGAGAGUAUGUGCAGUGUGUGUGUCAAGGUGUCCUCACCAGUGGUAUUUAUAGUUGUGGUAAAGUGAUACCUCUGCUGUAACCAUGACUACUGUCGCUACGGAGGAGGAGACAUCUUACAGCAAAGUGUGUCUGUGUGUUGUGUGGCAGGAACACAUACAUACAGGAGGGACUCACAGGGUAGGUAGAGGACAGGAGAGGGACUCACAGGGUAGGUAGAGGACAGGAGAGAGACUCACAGGGUAGGUAGAGGACAGGAGAGGGACUCACAGGGUAGGUAGAGGACAGGAGAGAGACUCACAGGGUAGGUAGAGGACAGGAGAGGGACUCACAGGGUAGGUAGAGGACAGGAGAGGGACUCACAGGGUAGGUAGAGGACAGGAGAGGGACUCACAGGGUAGGUAGAGGACAGGAGAGGGACUCACGGGGUAGGUAGAGGACAGGAGAGGGACUCACAGGGUAGGUAUAGGACAGGAGAGGGACUCACGGGGUAGGUAGAGGACAGGAGAGGGACUCACGGGGUAGGUAGAGGACAGGAGAGAGACAGGGUAGGUAGAGGACAGGAGAGACUCACAGAGUAGGUAGAGGACAGGAGAGACUCACUGAGUAGGUAGAGGACAGGAGAGAGACUCACUGGGUAGGUAGAGGACAGGAGAGGGACACACAGGGUAGGUAGAGGACAGGAGAGGGACACACAGGGUAGGUAGAGGACAGGAGAGGGACUCACUGGGUAGGUAGAGGACAGGAGAGACUCACAGGGUAGGUAGAGGACAGGAGAGGGACACACAGGGUAGGUAGAGGACAGGAGAGGGACACACAGGGUAGGUAGAGGACAGGAGAGGGACACACAGGGUAGGUAGAGGACAGGAGAGGGACACACAGGGUAGGUAGAGGACAGGAGAGGGACACACAGGGUAGGUAGAGGACAGGAGAGAGACUCACAGGGUAGGUAGAGGACAGGAGAGAGACUCACAGGGUAGGUAGAGGACAGGAGAGAGACUCACAGGGUAGGUAGAGGACAGGAGAGGGACUCACAGGGUAGGUAGAGGACAGGAGAGAGACUCACAGGGUAGGUAGAGGACAGGAGAGGGACUCACAGGGUAGGUAGAGGACAGGAGAGGGACUCACAGGGUAGGUAGAGGACAGGAGAGGGACUCACAGGGUAGGUAGAGGACAGGAGAGGGACUCACAGGGUAGGUAGAGGACAGGAGAGGGACUCACAGGGUAGGUAGAGGACAGGAGAGGGACACACAGGGUAGGUAGAGGACAGGAGAGAGACUCACAGGGUAGGUAGAGGACAGGAGAGAGACUCACAGGGUAGGUAGAGGACAGGAGAGAGACUCACAGGGUAGGUAGAGGACAGGAGAGGUGAUGUCAUUCAGAAUUAAAGACCUGAUGAU